rnacentral:rRNA from 1 species
UCCAGACUCCUACGGGAGGCAGCAGUGGGGGAUAUUGCACAAUGGGGGGAACCCUGAUGCAGCGACGCCGCGUGGGUGAAGGAGCGUUUCGGCGCGUAAAGCCCUAUCGGCAGGGAAGAAGGAGGACGGUACCUGACUAAGAAGCCCCGGCUAACUACGUGCCAGCAGCCGCGGUAAUACGUAGGGGGCAAGCGGUAUCCGGGUUUACUGGGUGUAAAGGGGGCGCAGACGGCAGCGCAAGCCAGGAGUGAAAGCCCGGGGCCCAACCCCGGGACUGCUCUUGGAACUGCGCGGCUGGAGUGCAGGAGGGGCAGGCGGAAUUCCUGGUGUAGCGGUGAAAUGCGUAGAUAUCAGGAGGAACACCGGUGGCGAAGGCGGCCUGCUGGACUGCGACUGACGUUGAGGCCCGAAAGCGUGGGAAGCAAACAGGAUUAGAUACCCGUGUA